rnacentral:rRNA from 1 species
UUCUGCAGCCCAACAGUGGUUACUCACUGAAGCUAAGCAGGCCUGAGCCGGGUCAGUACCUGGAUGGGAGACCACAUGGGAAAACUAGGUUGCUGAUGGAA